UUUUAAAUGAAGACCUGUAUGAAUGGCAUAACGAGGGCUUAACUGUCUCCUUUUUCAAGUCAAUGAAAUUGAUCUCCCCGUGCAGAAGCGGGGAUAACCCCAUAAGACGAGAAGACCCUAUGGAGCUUUAGACACAAGGUAGACCUUGUUAAUCACCUCAAAACAAAGAAUAUAAACCAGAAGAAUCCUACCCCAAUGUCUUUGGUUGGGGCGACCGCGGGGAAACAAACAACCCCCACGUGGACUGGGAGAACCCCUCCCACAACCAAGAGCCACAGCUCUAAGUAACAGAACCUCUGACCAUCAGAUCCGGCUAUUACGCCGAUCAACGGACCGAGUUACCCUAGGGAUAACAGCGCAAUCCCCUUUUAGAGCCCAUAUCGACAAGGGGGUUUACGACCUCGAUGUUGGAUCAGGACAUCCUAAUGGUGC
rnacentral:rRNA from 1 species